rnacentral:lncRNA from 1 species
AAAAAAAAAAAAAAAGUCAUAUCUGUCCAAAGUUCUUUUCUAAUGUUUUACCAACUCGUUCAAUUUUUGUUAGGUGUGUGGUCCAACUCUUUUGAUUCAAUAAAUUUCUUUGUACAAACAGUAAAAGCACUUCACAGCUACGAGCUGUGAGAUUAUAGAAAUAACGAAGAGACUGCCUGAUAAGUGAUAACUUUUUGUGACUUC